AUGCACCUCGCCUCUCUCAUCCUCACCCUCUUCCUGGGCCAGCUCCUGGGCACCACAGGGCAGAUCACGGUCACCCAGGAUGAUGGACAAGUCAUGGUGAAGCAGGGACACCCCUUCCAGACCACCUGCAAAUACCAGACCAGUGUUUUAAGGGAAUUGCUCUGGUACCAGGUGCAGAAAGGCCAAGCCCCACAGCUGCUCUCCUAUCAAGCAGGCUCUGGCCCCAAGCACAGCGGCCGGAUCACCACGCACCUCAACACCACGGGGAAAUACAGUGUCCUGAAGGUGGAGGAAGUGCAGCUCUCUGACACUGCCUUGUACCUCUGUGCUGUGACAGACACCCCGGGACAGGGAGCGUCCCCGGCUACAGAGACAGAGACAGAGACGGAGACGGAGACGGAGACGGAGACGGAGACGGAGACGGAGACGGAGACGGAGACGGAGACGGAGACAGAGGAGUCUCCUGCUCCCAGAGGAAAUAGCAAGGACCCCAGACAGGGGAGAAAGCUGAGUGGGGAAGAAGGCCCUGCCCUCCCCAAUGCCCGGCCCUGGCUGUGCAGCAGAGCUGGCCAUUCCAGCUGGGGAGGUGAGGAUUCCCCUGCGAGCUGA